UACGUAGGGUGCGAGCGUUAAUCGGAAUUACUGGGCGUAAAGCGUGCGCAGGCGGUUGGCAAAGUCAGCUGUGAAAGCCCCGGGCUCAACCUGGGAAUGGCAAUGGAAACUGGCGGGCUAGAGUGUGGCAGAGGGGGGUGGAAUUCCGCGUGUAACAGUGAAAUGCGUAGAGAUGCGGAGGAACACCGAUGGCGAAGGCAGCCCCCUGGGCUAGCACUGACGCUCAGGCACGAAAGCGUGGGGAGCAAACAGG
rnacentral:rRNA from 1 species